AUCUGCUCUUUUUUCAUGCUUGUUUCCACUGCUUGACUCUGUUGGGACGCAUCCUGCGGCUCAAGUGGGCAGGAAGGAUUCAGCACUGAAUAUCACCAGGAAAUGAUGAUGGUGCUGAUGGUUCAAAAUAGCUUUGGUCACAAUCUCAGCCAAAAACAACAGAAAAACAAGGGGAAAUGCCAUGUUUUCCAGGAGAACUAGCUCUGGCCCUACCAGAGCACUUCAUCCAAUGUUGAAUGGGACUCUUGACCCUAACGAAAAUUGCUCACCUUUCUGUAAAAAUGGAUUGCUACCCAGAAGAAAGAAAAAUAUAGUCCUUCAGGUUUCAAACAGGCUACAUAGGGUGCUGCCAGGAGGAGAGGCUGGAUUCUGUGCCUGUAAGGAAGCAGAAAGAGCAAGCAUUAGGCCACACCUGAGAAAGACUUGGGGAGGGUUUGAGGUUAUUUGGCAGAAGCACGAAGUCGGAAACAACUUGAAGGCACACAACAACAACAAUGGGGAACAAGAUUAAGAUGACUUAAUCCAGUGGCAGAUGGAGACAACAGCCCUAAGCUGCUGCACUCUGGGUCAGACUUUUAGCAGAAUUAUUCAUCUCAAACAGAAGGCUCAUUUCCUGCAGGAGCAAGUUGGACGUCAGUAGGGAGAUCACAAGAUGGACAUGAACCUGGUGACCUUUUCCAGCACCCAGUAUUUAAGGUGACCAUUACUUGCUUCAGAAUGCUGUCCCUUUGCUAUGGAAUCCUAGAACGGAAACCACAGAAAUGCAUUACAACUUCAAGGAAAGAAAAAUAAUUAGAAGGGAGUGAGAACAAUUGAGAACAUUUAUGUUGAUGUCAGGGUUUUUUUGCCAUGAAAAUGAGGGGUAUUACAGAGAUGGGGCUGAAGUACUGAAUGGAUAGUGAAGUCAAAUUUAGACUAGGACCACAGAUAUGGAGGGUCUGUGCCUGGUACGCAUUAUACUAAUAGCCCAAA